GCGCAGUCCCCCUUGAACGCACCUCAGGAUGGCCCGUACUUUGGAACCACUAGCAAAGAAGAUCUUUAAAGGAGUUUUGGUAGCCGAACUUGUAGGCGUUUUUGGAGCAUAUUUUUUGUUUAGCAAGAUGCACACAAGCCAAGAUUUCAGGCAAACAAUGAGCAAGAAAUAUCCCUUCAUCUUGGAAGGUAUGUUUUUCCUUAAGUAAAAAUAAGUAUAAAACAACUUCUUCAGGUAACCUAUAAAUUAAGUAGUAAUUUCUUUACAAGGAAUUUCUAACAAUACUAUUCACAUCUAUUUUAGUUCUUCUGAGACUAAAUUCUCAUCUAUUCUAGUGAGAGGAGAAUUAGGUAAUGGGCUGGAUUCUGAAUUCUUCUAGUGGUUAAGAAUGUAAACUGUGCAAUCAUUCAUGUAUGAGGUGAUAGAAUCAAACCACAGUUUAAACUUUUGGUUUUAAAAGAUCAGUUUCAUCUCAGGUUUGCUAACUUCUUGGAGCUGUCUCUUUCUCUGUCAAGUAGAUAAAGACUGAACAAGAUGACAUCAUGUAGUUAGACGAAAUAGUGCUCAUUACAAUGAUUAGAGACGCCAGGACUUAUAUGUGAAGUCUGUAAUCCUACUGUCCUCUUUUUCAUUUUGUUAUGUAGCAAUAUGGAAAAAAGAAGUUGUUUUUUUCAAUACAUUUAAUUUUAACAAUGUUUCCACAUGACUUUAUAAAUGAGAGCUAUUUUUAUUUAUAGUUUAUUACAAAUCCACUGAGAAGUCUGGAAUGUAUGGAAUCAGAGAGCUAGACCAAAAAACAU
rnacentral:sRNA from 1 species